rnacentral:tRNA from 1 species
GGGCCAGUAAGCUCAGUGGGUUGAGUGCGGUGCUGACAACAAUGACAAACCCAAGGUUGCGGGUUCGAUUCCCGCUUGGUCCC